GCAGUAGCCGCGGUAAUACGAAGGGGGCUAGCGUUGUUCGGAAUUACUGGGCGUAAAGCGCACGUAGGCGGACAUUUAAGUCAGGGGUGAAAUCCCGGGGCUCAACCCCGGAACUGCCUUUGAUACUGGGUGUCUAGAGUAUGGAAGAGGUGAGUGGAAUUCCGAGUGUAGAGGUGAAAUUCGUAGAUAUUCGGAGGAACACCAGUGGCGAAGGCGGCUCACUGGUCCAUUACUGACGCUGAGGUGCGAAAGCGUGGGGAGCAAACAGGAUUAGAUACCCCCGUAGUCCCUGUCUCUUAUAC
rnacentral:rRNA from 1 species